AAUAAUCUUAGGAACCUAAUAAAUGUUUUAUCUUUCAUAAUUAAUCUUGCUAGGAGAGCUUCUAAUGAAUCUAUUAAGAUGAACCUCUAGAAUUAACUCUUAUAUGGAGAUGAUGAAUAGUUGCUCUGCCGUAAUUCCUUGCAAGUACCUAGUUUUCAACCUUGUACUCUCUUGAGUUUUAGGUACAACUGUUUAGACUUAAGAUUUGCUCUGAGCCUAAAACUUUGUGGGUAACAAAUGCUUGAUCUAAGUCUAGAUAGUUGAUGGAUAUGAUAUGGGAAGGUUUUGAGCUGCUAUCAAUCUUGCUCCUAGAGAUGCUAGAAUUCUAGAGAAUUUUAUUUUGAAAAUCUUAAAUUACUACAUGAUGAGUUCCUUUAUGAUGAGAGUUUUAAAAUUCCUACCAUAGCCAAUUACUCAUGCUUACUAGAUUGGAAAAACCUCCACUUAUAUCUCAACCUAUAAGCAUUGAGAGUAGUUAAGCUGUGUAGACCCUAUGGGACUAGUCAUGCAGUUAAAGUCAAUAUUAUGUGCUCUCCAUCUAUUGAUCUUAGCUACUUCUAUCCUCAGAAGUAUGCAAUCACUUUCAUCCACCACAUUCACUAUGUGCUACUUCUGUUCCUAGAAGUACCACCCACAUAUACGCACUACAUUCUGUGUUGUUUCUAUCCUAGAGACACGCACCUAUGCUGCUCCUACCCUAGGAGUACGCAUUCCUUCAUUCACCUACACACAUUCCAUGUCCACUUAGAAAAUGUUCUACUCCUACACUGGGAGAAGACACCCAAAAAUAUUCAAUGUCUUAUUCUACUUAUCCAAUAAAGCCCCAGUUAUCCCAGUUGAUACUCCCUACUAUUAUCAUUGAAUUAAAAGGGAUGGUUGAUCUCUAAAAAGAGAGAGAAAAAAAGAGAGAAAAAAUAAAAAAAGAGGACAAAAGUCCCAAUGCAAAAGAAAAGAAAGACAACCAAAUCCUUGUUCUCAGAUUAGGAAGGUAUGUUAUCCCCAAGGAGCAAAUGUAGAAAUAGAUAUUCACCAUCAGUUAUAACCCCUCAUAACCCCUUUCAUUCUUAUCACUUCAUUUCACUUCACUCACAUGCACAUAUGACUUGAUUGUAUAAUUAGUUUCUCUGGAUCCAUGGUUUAACUAUGCAAUACAUGCAAGUAGGUUUGAAUUAUCUUUCCCACCUAUUAGCUCCACAUAACCCAAUUAGAAGUAGGGUGAGAGAGAUAAGGCAACUAUGUCUUAGUGAUACAAAUACCACAUAUUCUGAGAGCAAAGAGAAGGCAUACUCACUUGCCUUAGAGAGGAUUUAAAAAUACCACAUAUGGAAAGUGUCACACAAGAAAACUCUAAGUUUUAUUUGAAAAUCUUGCAAAACUCUGGAAUAAUAGUUGAUCGAAGAGCAGGUAGCAUAGUGCUCGACUUGACUGUUCUAUCUUUUGACUACCCAAGACCUAAGUGAUAGCUAUAAGCCCCAUGGUGAAAGGUAAAAUGGGUGAGUCUUGAGUCAGAAUAGUUCACUCUAAUCCAGAGGGGAGUCCUUGUUUGAAUACUAGUGAGGCGUGAAAGCAUUGUAGCAACUUCUGAUCCAAGUUUACUAGUUAGGCUUUGCUAAGGGACUAGCAAAGGGUAAGCUUGGGAGAGCUUGUUGACGGUCAAUAACGUCAACUUUUAUUAUAACUUUAGACACGAAGGAAAACAUGAAAACACACUAGUCUAGGGUUUUAUUUGACAAUUUCCAUGAGUUUUGCAUAUUCUGUAUUUUCUGGGGUGAAUUUCAGGAAAGCUGAAAAGAGGAAUUCUAGUGCGAAAUAAACACAAAACUUACCCGCCAUGGCAACUCGCAAAUGGGACGUGGGAAGACUCUGGAAGACACCCGAAGAGCUAGCGCCGGCCGGCGCCCCCCUGCUAGGGUUUCGCCCCCCUUCUGGAAGCUUCCUCCACCGCCUAUGAGGAGUCAUCUUGGCCGUUGGUUAAGUCGGUUUGAUCCUACGGCGCAAGUCGAUCCCACCGGACUAUAAAUAAAGGGGC
rnacentral:lncRNA from 1 species